UGGGUAGCUCUUGCAUUUCCUGGUAGGGGCCACUGGAUGGCUCCUCCACUUCCCGGAGUAGAUCAGUGGGUAGCU
ensembl:miRNA Mir432 microRNA 432